AAUAGGUGAGUAAUACUAAAUAAAAAUUAUAGGAGUGAAUUUUCAUUGAUUCUCCCUGUAACCUAAGGUUGAGUCACUACCCAGCACUGAUAAGACUCCCCCAAUUCUUGCCUCAGGGUCGGCUUUUCGAAUUCAAGACUAAAGGAAACACUAAAUAAUUAAGCUUCGAGCUUUGCUCGCCCACUUUAUUCCCCCUUAAUUGGUGAUAUUGGCACUUGUCGACAGAUCAAUACUUUUCCCCAGAUAGCAGUAAGUAUCUCCUACCUCAAUCGUCUGCUUCCGGAUCCUUUCGCUCCGCGCGCACCUCCUCCUUGUGAUGUUCCGGAGAUGCAGCAACUCGUCGUGCUGCGUAAUGAGCCUACUAUGCGGGUUAAAUGGGUUCGAACGCCUCGUAGCUCGCAGCGCGUAGUUGUUGCUUCACGAUCCCGAAGUGCAGGGUGCCGCCUACCGUGUUGUAUGGUAAGCAGCCCUCACCCGUCUGCUGGUUAUGACGGUCGUUGGCGACGCCCUUCCAUGGUUCCGGACACGUCGCGGGCGCAAGGCAGAAUUUGCGCUCAGGAAUGCUGCUUCGGGUACUCCUACCGGACUUUCCAAGGGUAAAAUACGGGGUCCUAGGAUAGAGGGAACAAAAUGGCGGCAUGGCGUUAGGUCGGGUACUUUGCUGGCAUUCAGGGCCUUGGGUUACCUGGGAGUCCUCUACACACACACAAUUGUUGUUUUCUCGCUUACUCACUACGUUCACCGUAUCUUCCACGGUUUUUUAAAAUAGACACUUGGCCUUUAGAAUGAACGAUACUUUGGCGCUUUUCUUGCCGUAGUAUUCGCUCCGAGUUGCGACGAAGAAUGACCCUAUUGUUAAAGGUCCAUGGCUCCCGUACCCGACCGUUGACCUCUCAUGCCCCUCUAUCCCUUCCUACGGUUUCCCCUCAGCAGCUCAGCAUCCAUUUUCUGCUGCUAUAUCCAGCCCUGGACUCAGAAGCCUAUCAUGUGCUGCCAUCUGCUGAAGCGUACCAACAUCUCCAGACGUUUAUGUUGGUUGGCUGCGUCCUAGGUUUUCUUUCGGGGUUCAAAAGCAGGUCCACUCCACUCUACACUUAAUCACCAGCACUUCCUUGACAUUUACAUUUACGCGAUAAAUCUUGACAAUCUUGGAUAGAAACUUUCCCAUGGUUACAUCCCUUGCAGGAAACUGGCAACUGACUGACAUACUAAAGCAAAUGGGGCCCUGAAGAGGACGUCGUUUGAUAACAUUUGCACCCGAAUCUCGGCAGCUGACUUUCUUGCGGGCUUUUUAUCGAUAUUGGAUAACUAUACCGGCAAUCUUUUACAUAUCCUAGACAUUUUAGAAGCAAAAUCGUGUCAAAGGCUCCCGGAGAUAAGUGAGAAACCGAAUUUCGAUUUCCGUUCCAGUAGAAUAAGAACGUGUUAUGAUUAACAAGGACAAUAUUCAUUUUUAUGAUGUAAGUAAAAAUAAAUAUUACAAAAGUGUUUCAGUAGCCAAAACGGUUUCUAUUUUCGUCCGAAAACUAUUCCAACACAAAAAUUGUCUUGAAUAUGCAAGUAUAGAAACGCGUUAAAGUAGACAAAUGUUUUAGUAUAAUGUUGGCUUAUAAUAUUUAUGUGUGGGAUUUACCUUUUAUGUGACGCAUAUAAAAGUUAUAUUCAUGAAUUCUAUAUGUGUGGGCACGUAUUUUCCAAAUGGAAAUCAAAUUGCAAAAAUCUAUAAGGCUAACACAUAUUCCUAAUAUGUGGAUUUUUUGCAGUGUACCAAUAUGGUUAUGUCUUAUGAAUUUUUCCAUAAUAAAUUCCAACCAUUUUGGAACUUCUCGAGUAUAAACCACAAAAUCGUUGAAUAAUUUGACGUCUUUUCAUCGCCAUUUUGAAAGCGACCAAUGAUGCAGCCUAACGCGUUUGUAAAAAUCUAUCAUCCCCAUAAAUGAAUCAUGUUUUUAAGUUCAUAUUGAAUUCUUAGGACAUCAUGAAAAGUAAGUGAUUUGCUGUAAAUUUUCGUCAUAACAAUAAUCCCAAUAAUCAACAAAAAAAAACAAUUUCAGGGCGCCGAAUGGACAUCGCUUCAGGUUGCAAUCACUAACGUUACCUGGCCACAGCAGCAGCAGCAGACGAAGAAAGAAAAAAGCAUAUUAAUCGGUCUAUUUUAAGUACCUCACGAAAUCGAGGGCUGAAGAUACUUCCGAUUAUAACUAUUCCCAUUAUUUUUGCAAAGAACACAUCAGUAGCGCCAGAUGAUUUCAACCCCAACAAAGUUAUUGUCUACUGGAAGAUUAAAUGACCCAAUAAAAACGCUCCUACAACAGCACAGAUCCUCCGACCCUUCCUCCGGCAGCAGCAGGUGGUAGAAAAGUUUUUCUCUUACGAACUUUUUUUACUAUCCGGAAGGAGCUAAAACGGGUCAACACUUUUGGAAACACAUCACCUGCCGGUCGUAGAUGAGCCUCCUCAAAAAAACAGCCGAUUUGAACAGCCUUUCCGCUAGAGCUACGGCUCACUUACCAAGGUACACGAGAUCACCACUUCCGUCAUGAGGGAACUUCUGCUACCGCGGGUGUUAAGGCUAUUGUUGCUAUUCGAUCAUAGCCUGAAGUUUUCUGUUCCCGCUUAAAUAUUCAUAUUUUUUUAUUUACCUCGGUAGAAAUAUCUUUUUAUUAAAAUGGACAAUAGUAUUAUUUACAUGAAAUGAAGAAACAAAUACGAAAAACCGUAUUUUUCCUAAUUUUCUCGAUAAUUUUAAAAUAUGCAGGUCGCUAAAAGCUUCCCUGUUAAAUACGAUUGAAAAAUAACCAUUUCAAAACUUUCCUCCAGAACCCCAUUCGGUUGAAAAAUAACCAUAUUCGAUCUUCUCCCCUAGAAGUCAUUAUAUGCCUUCUCAUGGAGAACUCAUAAAAUGGCAUUUCUCGGAAAAAGGUCACAAAUGGUUAUUUUUGAAUCAUAAAUGGUUUAAUAAUUUCUAGCGUGCGGAAACUACGCCUACUUACUGUAGGCUGACGUGUUUGAUAAAAAAAAAGUCGAACAAGUUAACGCUCAGUAUAGUUUGAUAUGGGUUGGGGAUUUAGAACUGCAUUUAAUGAAAAAAGCUGUAACAAAUGAAAAAAUAUAGGUUUUUGAAAAAACACAUGUAACACUCACCCAGUACAUUCGUGUUAUAGUUGAAAUGUAAACGGAUAACAAGGAAAAUCAGCGAUUCGCAUAGAUGGGGAGAGAAUGUUUCCUUUCCCUUCCUCUUUUAAAAUACUCAAGGAAUUUAGGGUGAAGUCGCCAGACGGAAUUUGGUAUUUUGAUCCACAGAACCCUUUCAUUUUCGUAGAUCCGUAGAAGUCGUAAAAAUCCAUAGAGCCACAUGAGCAUCCGUAGAUCUGCUCAUGAGGGAAGACAGUUAUGUGUGGCCUCAAUCAAGGUUUACAUAUUGUAAUUGCUAGGAAUAAACUACUGUUUUAACACCUAUUGAGCAUCUUCAAAACUGUUUUCGUUAUAAACGGUAU